rnacentral:lncRNA from 1 species
CUGCACUUUAAACAUACCUUCAUUUUCCUUCGUAUUAAACUUAAAAAAUUUCUUCAUUUUUUUAAAGAUACGAAAAAUGUUCUUAUUCUAACAAGAGUUGUUUCCCUUUCAUUGUUCAAUUGGUAUAACGAAUCACAUAAUAUUAUAAGUCCCUAGUUACGUACGUGUGUAUAUGUUUAAAAUAUUAUAUUUGAUUAUGCUUGCUUGGACACCAAUGAGCAAAAUAUACACAAUGAAGAGUUUCACAAAGACAAGGAUUUUUAAUGUAAAACCAGCUGUUGUCUACAUGCAUUGUAUAAUUGCUUACAUCAGGAUAGCAGAUUCACUUUUAUUACUACUACAUGGCUUUUUC